UAAAGGUCGUAUAACCGGCGGAAGUGGAAUAACCACAGGGAGUACGAUUUUAUUAAUGCCGACCGCCUGGGCAAACUAG
rnacentral:ncRNA from 2 species